GUGGGGAAUAUUGCACAAUGGGCGGAAGCCUGAUGCAGCAACGCCGCGUGCGGGAUGACGGCCUUCGGGUUGUAAACCGCUUUCGCCUGUGACGAAGCGUGAGUGACGGUAAUGGGUAAAGAAGCACCGGCUAACUACGUGCCAGCAGCCGCGGUGAUACGUAGGGUGCGAGCGUUGUCCGGAUUUAUUGGGCGUAAAGGGCUCGUAGGUGGUUGAUCGCGUCGGAAGUGUAAUCUUGGGGCUUAACCCUGAGCGUGCUUUCGAUACGGGUUGACUUGAGGAAGGUAGGGGAGAAUGGAAUUCCUGGUGGAGCGGUGGAAUGCGCAGAUAUCAGGAGGAACACCAGUGGCGAAGGCGGUUCUCUGGGCCUUUCCUGACGCUGAGGAGCGAAAGCGUGGGGAGCGAACAGGCUUAGAUACCCUGGUAGUCCACGCUGUAAACGGUGGGUACUAGGUGUGGGGUCCAUUCCACGGGUUCCGUGCCGUAGCUAACGCUUUAAGUACCCCGCCUGGGGAGUACGGCCGCAAG
rnacentral:rRNA from 1 species